rnacentral:rRNA from 1 species
GAUGAACGCUGGCGGCGUGCUUAACACAUGCAAGUCGAACGGGAUCCAUCGGGCUUUGCUUGGUGGUGAGAGUGGCGAACGGGUGAGUAAUGCGUGACCGACCUGCCCCAUGCACCGGAAUAGCUCCUGGAAACGGGUGGUAAUGCCGGAUGCUCCAUCACACCGCAUGGUGUGUUGGGAAAGCCUUUGCGGCAUGGGAUGGGGUCGCGUCCUAUCAGCUUGAUGGCGGGGUAACGGCCCACCAUGGCUUCGACGGGUAGCCGGCCUGAGAGGGCGAGCGGCCACAUUGGGACUGAGGUACGGCCCAGACUCCUACGGGAGGCAGCAGUGGGGAAUAUUGCACAAUGGGCGCAAGCCUGAUGCAGCGACGCCGCGUGAGGGAUGGAGGCCUUCGGGUUGUAAACCUCUUUUGUUAGGGAGCAAGGCAUUUUGUGUUGAGUGUACCUUUCGAAUAAGCACCGGCUAACUACGUGCCAGCAGCCGCAGUAA